CCUACGGGCGGCAGCAGUGAGGAAUAUUGGUCAAUGGGCGAGAGCCUGAACCAGCCAAGUCGCGUGAGGGAGUACUGCCCUAUGGGUUGUAAACCUCUUUUGUCGGGGAGCAAAGCGAGUCACGUGUGACUCAUUGAGAGUACACGAAGAAAAAGCAUCGGCUAACUCCGUGCCAGCAGCCGCGGUAAUACGGAGGAUGCGAGCGUUAUCCGGAUUUAUUGGGUUUAAAGGGAGCGUAGGCCGCAUGUCAAGCGUGCUGUGAAAUGUCCGGGCUCAACCCGGGCCUUGCAGCGCGAACUGGCGUGCUUGAGUCCGCGGAAAGCAGGCGGAAUUCGUCGUGUAGCGGUGAAAUGCUUAGAUAUGACGAAGAACCCCGAUUGCGAAGGCAGCUUGCUGCAGCGGAACUGACGCUGAUGCUCGAAAGCGCGGGUAUCGAACAGGAUUAGAUACCCUAGUAGUC
rnacentral:rRNA from 1 species